AUCUAUGGCCAUACCACCCUGAACGCACCCAAUCUGAUCUCAGAAGCUAAGCAGGGUUGGGCCUGGUUAGUACUUGGAUGGGAGAAAUCAUCUCAGUGAACCCUUCCCUGGCUA
rnacentral:rRNA from 1 species